rnacentral:rRNA from 1 species
UACAGAGGGUGCGAGCGUUGUCCGGAAUCACUGGGCGUAAAGCGCGUGUAGGCGGCUUUGCAAGUCGGGUGUGAAAGCCCUCAGCUUAACUGAGGAAGUGCGCCCGAAACUGCUUGGCUUGAGUACCGGAGAGGAUGGCGGAAUUCCCCAAGUAGAGGUGAAAUUCGUAGAUAUGGGGAGGAACACCGGUGGCGAAGGCGGCCAUCUGGACGGAUACUGACGCUGAGACGCGAAAGCGUGGGUAGCAAACAGG